UAUUUAUGGUAACCCUGAUGGCUUUUAUGAUGUCACUGUUGUUUCUAGUUCCGAAUUUCGAGAUAGAACAUCAUAUUAUUUUCAUUUUCUGGUGGAUUUGAGCGUUGACCAAAUGAAAUAUUUUUAUGUGAUUCAGAAACGUCAUGAUGAUAAUUGUUAUCUGUGUAAAAAUGUCAAGAGUUGUCAUAAGAUCGAUUACAGCGGCUCGCUGAAGACCAAUCGAGUUAUCGGAUAAAAUAAACGUCGUGUGCACCGGACCUAACUACUAGUUAAAAUGUAUCAAUUAUUAUGAAUUUCAAGUUAUCUACUAUCACAAUCACUUAUUUAAAUGUUCAUAAAUUGUUUAGAUAUCUAAUUUUUUUAAACCUUAAAUUUUUUAAUAAUUUAUAGUUAAAUAC